CAGUGGGCUGCAGCGGAACCAGGCCUUGUCUCUGGAGGUUGAGGAUGUGCUGCUGCUGAAGCUGCUGCAUCUGGAUCAGCUGCUGCUGGAAGGCCAGCUGCUUACUGCCUAGCUGCUGACAGGGAGACGAAAAGGAGGACAAGCAACCUGAAAACUAGGACAACGGAGGAGCACGGGGGAGAACGGAAAAGCAAUUCAGACAGUCGCUCAACAUGCGAGUCAACCACAACUGGUUUGCUUUGGUCACGGUAGAGUCGGUCGCCCGCUGUCAGUAAGGAGCAUGUUGGCCGAGGUGGACGGGGUUGGGACUUUGCCCAGAGGGAGAGGAGGAGGACAAAUUCGAGGAUGUGCCUUUUCUUGCUUUUCUCAGAAAUGUCUCACAAGCUCUUUCUCUUGAAGGGUUUUCCCUGCAUUGUCUGUUUCUUAUUAUCAUCAUCACAUAAGAAUUGCCAUUAUACACAGAUGUAAACACAUAGCUCCUUGUACCUUAAACAGUCAUCACAUUAAAUAUGUCUAAAUGAUCCAGA